rnacentral:lncRNA from 1 species
GCUGUCUCUUCCUCCUCACCAGCCUAGGCCCCAGAAACUUGUACCCACCACCGCCAGACCGCCCCAACUCACACUCACAAUUUGUGCUCGCAAUCUCCUAUGUCCCCAGCCGGACACCCUCUCCGAACUCCCUCAAGGGUCAAGCAUACCUCAAGGGCAUCCAGCUGCCACCUCUCUGGAUGAACCGCCCAUCGAAAGUCCUCUAUGACCUCCCUCUCCACCACCCCCGAUCUUGAGGGCCGAAAUGACCCCGUACGACUCUCGCUGUCCCCCAAAGCUGCAAAUAUCUGCACCUGCACAGCUGCCGCCUCAUUCCCUGCCCUCUUCGGGGACCCAGUUCCCAAAUCCACCAGCCCACUCCCUUCGACAUCGCCCCAGCAGGAGACGAGAAAGGGACACCAAGAGGCACGGUGCUUCUUCCCCACCUAAGCCUGCGGCCUGCGGACACCCCAAUGCACCCUGCGCCCGGGACACCGCCGACCCCGCCCCGCUUUGCUCUUUGACAGGUCUCUCUCCCGGCGAGGGCCGUGGUCUUCAGGAAAGGCCCGAGCCCCUUUCCCAGCUGCGCCCUAGGCGCGCGCCCCGGCUGCCCGCACCCGCCAGUGCCGUCGCGCUCACCUGGGCCGGGAGGCUGACAGCCUUGGGCUGUGCCCUGAGGGCCGCGAGAGGACGUCGCGCUGGCAGACCCGGGCUUGGGCCCCGCGGCGCUGCGCCUCCAACCCGGAAGAACAGCCCCAACUCCGCGGCGGCGGGCGGCCACGUGACUGCAGCUCCGCUCCCACCUCGGCCCGCGCCCCUUCCCCGCCCCAGCUUUCUUCCCGCCAGGCCCCCUCCACCCGAUCGCCGCGCGCUCUCCGAACCAAAAGGCGACCUCACGAAAUGCCCCUUUGAGCUCAAAGGCUAGUUACCCCCAGGGGCCCUUCCACUCUCGGGGACAGGCGAAACCUCUUUGUCUCUGCCUCGGCCUGCGGCCCCCAGCCCAGCCUCCGCGCUUUCCCUCCGCCAGUCCUUGUCAAUCAAACCUGGUGCCAAACGCGGCAGCUGAAGUUUUCAGGGACACAUUUGCUUCUCCCCUUGAAGAACCAGUUACAAAGCGUGAUGUCCUCUCUGGGGUCCCAUCAGAACAAAGAAACAGGUCUAAAGACCCUCAUUCCAGAGAGCAUCCUGCCCCAUAUCCAGAAUGAAAUCCAUGCUCAGAGAUGCCAAGAAGAAUCUAGACAGACAGGCCUUUCUAGGAUCUGUGGGAACAUCUAAAGACCCUGUAAGAAACAUAGAAAACCCUCUCCCUCCCCCUCCCCCUCCCCCUCCCCCUCUCCCGAGCCGAAGCUGGACUGUACUGCUGCCAUCUCGGCUCACUGCAACCUCCCUGCCUGAUUCUCCUGCCUCAGCCUGCCCAGUGCCUGCAAUUGCAGGCGCGCGACGCCACGCCUCACUGGUUUUCGUAUUUUUUUGGUGGAGACGGGGUUUCGCUGUGUUGGCCGGGCUGGUCUCCAGCUCCUAGCCACGAGUGAUCCGCCAGCCUCGGCCUCCCGGGGUGCCGGGAUUGCAGACGG